AACCUUUACCACCAUCUGUGUUGCCAUAGCAAAGUACAGGGGCAGCAAAUAUCUGGUCUAUGUUUCGACACUGCCCUCUCUAGCUAGACAUUUCUAAUCAAUUCCAGCAAUCCUUCCUCUUGACCCAGGAUAUUUAUGCCUCAGAGUCCUGUGCCCCGGGCAGCUGUUAGCAGAUGGGACGACUGAACGAUGAAACCUCUUUGCUGUCUCUGGGAUGGUGAAGGGCAUAAGCUUUGCAGGCAAAUGUGUUUAGGAGGUUCAAAUCCCAGUUUUGCCACUUACAAGUUGUGGGAUAUAGAGCAAGAUACUUACAAUAUUUAGCCCUCCAGGUGAUUCUGAGGUGCAUUAAACUAUCCGAACUACAAGCCAGAAGGCAAAGGAGAGCGGCUGGGCAAGGAGAAGUGCGGGAGUGAGAUUGUGGCCAAGUGGGGGCAGACCUGAUGAAAUUAGAGAAGGCACCUCCCCGUCAAGGAAGCGUUGCAUGUUCCCAUGGCAGAGGAUUUUCAGGCUGUGGAGAAAACAUAUUGAAGAUUAAAAGGAAAGUCAUUCAGAGUCGGAUGCCCCUAAACUGUGACCAUAAACAAGCAGAGCUUCAAAGCUACUAAUUUGUGUGGUCUCCUGUGGGUGCGGCUUCGACCACCAGAGGGAGCUGUGGGAGCAAGUCACAGAAAUCCCAGACUGGACUAAGCAACCAGGAAACUUCGUUCUCAAGUAACUAGAAGUCUAGAAGAUCUUGCAACUGAUCUUCAGAGUUAAGUUGGCCCAGUUGUUUUAGAGUAUAAUUCAAAUCUUAGGUCUUCCCUUUCAAGAGGGGAACAGGAAUGCAUUAAGUUAAGGAUUGGGAAUGUUUCUAGCCCCAGGGGUCUCAGGUAGCCAGGCCUGUGCCAGGGACUCUGCAUCUGGGCUGAGGGCAGCAAGACCACUCCUGGUAAGACCUAUAAGGGUAGAACUGGGGUUCCUAAUCCAUGCCAGGCGUGAAGCUGGGGCUGGUUCUUCAUGACCUGAGGCUGGUGAGAUCUUUGCUUACCUUCUUACUUGUAUUUUUAAGGCUCACAUUUCCCAGUGCUGGAGUCCUUUCCCAUCUCCUUUAUUACUGGCUUCUUUGCUUGUCAGUAUACCAGAAUAAAUCUUCCUACAAUAUGGGCCAUGCUCCACCCACUAUGGCAAAAGCAGCCAGCUGGAACACAGAACACAUGGGCUGAAAAUGUGGCAAUGCUUUGCUGAGUUCUAGUCUUUCCAAAAUUAUUAAAAGUGGUUGGUCAAAUUUCACUGAGUGUGCAAUAUUUGGAAAUAGCUGUUCCCGGGGGGGAAAAAAGCAGCUCUUGAAUGUGAGGAUUAUCAAGGAAGAUGAUGCUUUUGGAGAGGGAAUGGCAAAAAGGAGGCAUUGAGACUAUUUUUCUCAUGCGGGCUAGAAAUUGAUCCUGGGAGUAUUUUCCAGAAAAUGUUUUUUUCUAAAUGUUUUUUAAAUAGCAAUGUGGC
ensembl:lncRNA